CUCAACUUGUGAGGGAUUCACCUAUAUUACCUCUGCACCUGUAAUAAGACUAAGAAGACGGUGGCUGCACAUGUAGUUAACACCGAUUGUACCGCGACUUCGCCUUUCCGCAGCCUUUGUACCAACCUGCAGAGCCCUUUUGAGCCAAGAGCUGGACUUGGGGAGUAAAGAAGCUCAUUGUAAACGCCAGGAGGAAUUUCUUCAGGGUGAAGUUGACUUCCAAUCGGCUUCAUUCUAAAGGAAACAUGUGGAGCAAACAAACGGGAACUUUCUUUCUCAUCUUCUGCAUUUCAAGCCUAAUAAAAUUAGACGUUUCCACUGUCCUGCUCAGUCUCGAAGCUGUCGGCAGAUUCCGCUUUUAACUCUCAACACAGACACUCAGGAAAUCGGGAAAUCCCUGCAGCUCCCUCAGAAGCUAUCAGUAUCAGCGGUUCCCGAACCCGCAAACAAAAAACGCAACAUCACGUGCUCCUCCAAAGAGCCUAGCCUGUCUAUCGAGCGAUGGAAAGAGCGGCGAGGCGCUCUCGCAGCCGUGGCAGUCUGGACGAAAAGAACCAGGUCCCUUUCCUGGUCUAGCCUACCUCCCUACCUCUCUUCCCUCAUAUCCAGAAGAAGCGACGGAGAGAAAUCCCGUCAGCCAACUGAAAAGCCAAGUCUGCCAUACAACUUGCAAUCUGCCAAUUUUAAAAUGGAUCAAUGUUAUUUUAUUAACAUUGGCAAAGGCUCAUAUAUGGGCAAACCAGAAUGAGAAAGAGUUAAUCGUCACCAGAAAUUUGGUUCCGAGAAAUGGGUUUUCUUCUCAUCUUCUUAUAUAGUUCAAAGAAUCCAGUCUCACCGUGAUAAGUCCCAAGAUUCGAGAACUAGUUAGAAGAAAACUUGUUUGUUGCCUACAAAUAUCACGAAUAGCUCUAUUUCAUGCCAACAAAGGAAAUAAAAAAUAAGUUACUAAACAUCCAGAAGGCAGAAAAGCGACCUCUCUCCAUCUGCAGAAGCCAAGCAAACUUGUGGGCUUCCCUAUGCAUCCUUUCUUUUACUCACUUUCUAAACGCUGUAACGGCCACUAUCUAUCAGGUGGUCACAAGCCAUCGCUAAAGUCAAUCUGAGGUCAACCCACUCGACUUGUGAGGGAUUCAGCUAUACUGCCUCUGCGCCUCUAAUAGGACUAAGGAGGCGGUGGUUGCACAAGUAGUUAACACCGAUUGUACCGUGACUCCGCCUUUCCGCAGCCGCUCUCCAGCUCUUUAGAGUCCUUUUGAGUCAAGCUGGACGUGAGACAUACAGGAGAUCGUUGCAAACGCCAGGAGGAGUUUCUUCAGGGUGAAGUUAACUUUCAAUCGGCUUCAUUCUAAGAGAAAUAUGUGGAGCAAACAAACGGAAACUUUCUUUCUCAUCUUUUGCAUUUCAAGCAAAAACUAAUAAAAUUAGAUGUUUCCACCGUCAUGCUCAGUUUCGAAGCUGCCAGCAGAUCCCGCUUCUAACUUUUAACACAGGCACGCAGGAAAUCGGGAAAUCCCUGCAGCUCCCUCAGAAGCUACAGUAUCAGCGGUUCCUGAAGGGCAAACCAAAACCCAGUAUCACUCUCUCCUCCAAAGAGUUCAGCCGGUCUGCUGAGCGACGGAAAUAGCGGAGAGGCGCUCUUGAAGCCGAAACGAACCAGGUCCCCUUCCUGGUCGAGUCUUCCUCCCUAAGGACAAAAAAAGUACCUUUCUUCCCUCAUAUCCAGAGGAAGCGACGGAGGGAUGUGGCGCUUAGACUCACUGUACCAUCCCGUCCAUCCAAGUCCUAAUAAUCAUGAGGAUGCGACAGAGCGAGACUCCGUCUCAACAAAACAAAACAAAACAACCCUAAGGAAGAGAGAGAAUGUACUGGAGGAUAGGAAGUACUUAGGAAAACCUUUUUUUUUCUUGUAUUUAAAUUUAAGCCUUCAUUUAUAUAAAAUAAAACACAUGAAACCUAU
rnacentral:lncRNA from 10 species